rnacentral:rRNA from 1 species
UGCGGAGGGUGCAAGCGUUGUCCGGAUUUAUUGGGUUUAAAGGGUGCGUAGGCGGCUAUUUAAGUCAGUGGUGAAAUCCUGCAGCUUAACUGUAGAAUUGCCAUUGAUACUGGAUAGCUUGAGUACAGACGAGGUAGGCGGAAUUUAUGGUGUAGCGGUGAAAUGCAUAGAUACCAUAAAGAACACCUAUUGCGAAGGCAGCUUACUAGGCUGUAACUGACGCUGAGGCACGAAAGCGUGGGGAUCAAACAGG